rnacentral:rRNA from 1 species
CCUACGGGAGGCUGCAGUGAGGAAUAUUGGUCAAUGGACGAGAGUCUGAACCAGCCAAGCCGCGUGCAGGAUGACUGCCCUAUGAGUUGUAAACUUCUUUUAUAUAGGACUAAACUGUUCAACGUGUGUUAUUCUGUAUGUACUAUACGAAUAAGGAUCGGCUAACUCCGUGCCAGCAGCCGCGGUAAUACGGAGGAUCCGAGCGUUAUCCGGAUUUAUUGGGUUUAAAGGGUGCGUAGGUGGAUUGUUAAGUAAGUUGUGAAAGUUUGCGGCUCAACGGUAAAAUUGCAGUUGAUACUGGCAGUCGUGAGUAUAGUAGAGGUGGGCGGAAUUCGUGGUGUAGCGGUGAAAUGCUUAGAUAUAACGAAGAACUCCGAUUGCGAAGGCAGAUCACUGGACUGCAACCGACAAUGAGGCUCGAAAGUGUGGGUAUCAAACAGGAUUAGAUACCCUGGUAGUC